AGAAGAUGGCUAAAAAUAGCUUAGGCUUAAGUAGUCUCAGGCUAACUCAUACACUGUUAACCCCCCACCCUGCCAGGGGCAGGCCCAAUCUGCCAACCGCAGGACAGAUUCUUCCAGACUUCUGUAAGAGGGCGCUGCAGCCAUAGGCCAGCACUAGGCAACAGCCCUGCAGCCCAGUGAGUCCAGUGAGGGCAUGGGGCAUGACUGGAGACUGAGGCAUCGGAGGAGGAGGAGCAGUGAGCAUGGCCUGGGAAGGAGCUGGCAGCAAGCAGUGAUCAGAAUAUCCACUCUCCUUGGUUAAAGUCUCACCCCCAUCUACAGUGCCAGUCAUUCCAUUGUCUGGGGAACAGCCAGCAAUAGACAAACGUAAUUAACUACUAAUGAAUGCAACUUUAUCUGGUACCUUCGGAAGGUGGCGUCUGUUUUAAGAAAAAUCACCCCUGGAGAAAUAAGUGUUGACUGACCGCUGUCACAAGGAGAGGGUCAUAAAUUGUCAGCAGGCCCCCCUGGCCAGAAGAUGAUGUAACACCCCUAAGACCUCUGUAUACAUUUGUAUGAAGCACCUGACUUUGAUAAAAGUUAGGACUGCUGACCCCGCGUGACUUUUGUAUAACAUCUCAGUGUAUAAAAACAGACUCUGGAAAAUAAAGAAUUGGGAUCAGUUCCUCGAAAUACUGGUCUCCCCAUGUCGUUCUCUCUCUCUCAAACUCUGGCUGAGUCUCCAUCUGGAGCGCGGAGCCCGCCGUGCUUACUAAUUAUGCCUGGGCUUCUAAGAUCCGACCGGGGAGGCCUCAGUGUCUCCUCUCCUUUGGGAGAACGGAAGGAUGUCUGCGGCCUAUGUAAGUGGUGCAAGCUUCUUGUCUUGAAGUUUUAUUGGUUUCCCACAUAAACCAAGCUACUCAGCCUCUUUUCUCCACUGAAUUUUCCUGCUGAGCUAUCCUCAUUCUUUUACUCUUUAUAUCUCUAAUUAAUAUUUAAAUAAGUUGCUGAUGCCGUCCCUGGUUCGAAUACACUGGAUCAACUGGGGCUGGACCCUGGCAUAUUUCCUCUCUGCUCCACAAUGCUCUUUGUCAUUUCCCUCUCUGUUGCUUACUUCUCACUACCUGCAUCAGCCUCAUUACUAUUCCUCACUCAUUUCAAGCAGAGUAAAUAUUCAAGGCCUUUGUGCUUGUGCUUGUCUCUGUCUUUGUUCUGUGCGUGGGCCAGGCUGUGUGUUAGGUUGUUAGAUUAGGCCUUCUGAGAUUCCCAAACUCCCCACAGACCCACCUGUGAGAGGGGUUCCUACUGUGUGGAAACUUUUUUCUCCUUCAUGACUCCCUCCUCAGGACAGGUCUGUGUCCCUAACUCUUUUGACUCUCUUUUUGCCUUUUAUAAGCUAGCUGGCUACCUACCAGCCCCUACCUGUCUUU
ensembl:lncRNA